rnacentral:rRNA from 1 species
UAGGGAAUCUUCGGCAAUGGGGGCAACCCUGACCGAGCAACGCCGCGUGAGUGAAGAAGGUUUUCGGAUCGUAAAGCUCUGUUGUAAGAGAAGAACGUGUGUGAGAGUGGAAAGUUCACACAGUGACGGUAACUUACCAGAAAGGGACUGCUAACUACGUGCCAGCAGCCGCGGUAAUACGUAGGUCCCGAGCGUUGUCCGGAUUUAUUGGGCGUAAAGCGAGCGCAGGCGGUUUAAUAAGUCUGAAGUUAAAGGCAGUGGCUUAACAAUUGUUCGCUUUGGAAACUGUUAAGCUUGAGUGCAGAAGGAGAGAGGGGAAUUCCAUGUGUAGCAGUGAAAUGCGUAGAUGUAUGGAGGAACACCGGUGGCGAAAGCGGCUCUCUGGUCUGUAGCUGCCGCUGAGGAUCGAAAGCGUGGGGAGCAAACAGG